CAACGCGCAGGCCCCUGUACACGCGUCUCCCCGUUGCUCCCGUCUACGCAGUUUUACGUCGUGGAUAUUCAUUAUGUCUGCGGGUGUGUCUCGUGUGGUGAAUCGAUGAAUACUCCAAUGAAACCAACGACUUACUUCGCUCCUCACGGUUCUACCCAAUCAAUAAACAGCUCAGGUUGUUUUUUCCUUAUGGCGUUAUAAAAUAAUUGUGCGGAACCUGAUUUUUUGAUUUCUCUACUCUACUGCAUUCCACAUUGCGGGAAAGAGUUGUGCAACUUUUUAUGGCAAUUGAAAAAAAAAAUAUCAGAUGGAAAUACAGUGCAAAAGGGAAACAGUGAUCAAUAAUCUGUUAUGUACGUGUAGUGUACAUGUUUGGAGCAAUUGUAUUCGGUUUAUUGUAUGAAAUAAGAGAAGACGGAGGGAGGCACGUACUCCCAUGUGCCUAUCAACCUUACCUGAGAAUCGACCUACACUGCCUGAUACGUGAAUGGAGUACGACGCGUAAGGAGAAUAAAAUUGCAAUGACUGGAAAUAUAAUAUAUGAGGAGAGAGCGUUAGAACAUUUUUAUUAUUAGAACUUGAGAAACGCCGCUCGGUGGAAUAUUAUUGACAUUUUCCACAUGAAUUCUGGUGCGAUAUGAGCCAGAAUAGUGAGACCGAGGUUUCGGAUUCAACUCUAAAGAUCGAUGCCACCAGGAGAAUGACACUGCCAAGCAAAAAAAAUCGAUAGUGCAGUUUAUUUUCGACGGUAAAUGCUUGCCUAUCCUCGACCGCUCUAUACAUAACAAAAUAAAAUAGAAAAAAAAAUCGUUUGGAUGGUAACGCGAGUGUAUUAUACUCCCGGAAGAUAUAACGUGGAAACGCUCGGAGACGUUUCAAACGAGUGGAGGCUUAUUUUUAGCGGUUGAUCUUGGAAGAGUUGCAAAAACCGGUUUUUGAAUGUCCUGAGGAAAAGAGGAGACGAGAGGUGAGAGGAACGUAAGAGGAAUCUUUGCAAGGGUUUACCAUGAGAGAAGGGUCCACCGAAUGUUUUCUGUUUUGCCGCUCAUUUCUCGACAUGAUGUAGGGAGUAAACAGAAGAUAUUAAUCACAGGUAUUCACUCAAAAUGGGCAUGCCAUUAUGUGUCACAGUUAUUCGGCUGUACAGCUGAUAGAAACAA